rnacentral:rRNA from 1 species
GUGAGGAAUAUUGGUCAAUGGGCGAGAGCCUGAACCAGCCAAGUCGCGUGAAGGAAGAAGGUUCUAUGGAUUGUAAACUUCUUUUGUAAGGGAAUAAAAAAGAGUACGUGUACUCUAUUGUAUGUACUUUACGAAUAAGGAUCGGCUAACUCCGUGCCAGCAGCCGCGGUAAUACGGAGGAUCCGAGCGUUAUCCGGAUUUAUUGGGUUUAAAGGGUGCGUAGGCGGACUUAUAAGUCAGCGGUGAAAGUUUGCAGCUUAACUGUAAAAUUGCCGUUGAAACUGUUAGUCUUGAGUGUAAAUGAGGUAGGCGGAAUGUGUUGUGUAGCGGUGAAAUGCUUAGAUAUAACACAGAACACCAAUUGCGAAGGCAGCUUACUGGGAUACAACUGACGCUGAGGCACGAAAGCGUGGGGAUCAAACAGGAUUAGAAACCCGUGUAGUCC